rnacentral:rRNA from 1 species
UACGUAGGGCGCAAGCGUUGUCCGGAAUUAUUGGGCGUAAAGAGCUCGUAGGCGGUUUGUCGCGUCUGCUGUGAAAACCUAAGGCUCAACCUUGGGCUUGCAGUGGGUACGGGCAGACUAGAGUGCGGUAGGGGUGACUGGAAUUCCUGGUGUAGCGGUGGAAUGCGCAGAUAUCAGGAGGAACACCGAUGGCGAAGGCAGGUCACUGGGCCGCAACUGACGCUGGAGGAAGCGAAAAGCGUGGGGAGCGAACAGG